rnacentral:rRNA from 1 species
GUGCCAGCAGCCGCGGUAGUACGAAGGGGGCUAGCGUUGUUCGGAAUUACUGGGCGUAAAGCGCGCGCAGGCGGGUCAUCAAGUCAGAGGUGAAAGCCCGGAGCUUAACUCCGGAAUAGCCUUUGAAACUGUUGAUCUUGAGUACGGGAGAGGUGAGUGGAAUUCCCAGUGUAGAGGUGAAAUUCGUAGAUAUUGGGAAGAACACCAGUGGCGAAGGCGGCUCACUGGCCCGUUACUGACGCUCAGGCGCGAUAGCGUGGGGAUCAAACAGGAUUAGAUACCCUGGUAGUCCACGCCGUAAACGAUGAAUGCUAGCCGUUGGGCAGCUUGCUGUUCAGUGGCGCAGCUAACGCAUUAAGCAUUCCGCCUGGGGAGUACGGCCGCAAGGUUGAA